AGGAGGCAGCAGUAAGGAAUUUUGGACAAUGGGCGCAAGCCUGAUCCAGCGAUGCCGCGUGCAGGAAGAAGGCCUUCGGGUUGUAAACUGCUUUUGUACGGAACGAAAAAGUCCGGGUUAAUACCCUGGGCCCAUGACGGUACCGUAAGAAUAAGCACCGGCUAACUACGUGCCAGCAGCCGCGGUAAUACGUAGGGUGCAAGCGUUAAUCGGAAUUACUGGGCGUAAAGCGUGCGCAGGCGGUUGUGUAAGACAGGCGUGAAAUCCCCGGGCUCAACCUGGGAAUGGCGCUUGUGACUGCACAGCUCGAGUGCGGCAGAGGGGGAUGGAAUUCCGCGUGUAGCAGUGAAAUGCGUAGAUAUGCGGAGGAACACCAAUGGCGAAGGCAAUCCCCUGGGCCUGCACUGACGCUCAUGCACGAAAGCGUGGGGAGCAAACAGGAUUAGAUACCCGAGUAU
rnacentral:rRNA from 1 species